UCGCGCCCAAUCCAGGUUGGCUUUAAACUCUGUGGCCUCCUGUCUCAGCCUCUUGCAGGCAGAGAUCACAGGUGUGCAUGGCCAAGCCUGGCUUGUGCUGCCUUCUGGAGAAAUUGUCUGCUGUCAGUUGAGGGGAAUGAGCAUCAUCUUGUCAACAAAGAGAUUGGCUUUCGGGAGCUCAUGGCCAUUGAAGGGAGCGGGAGUUAAGUGACUUCGUUAUUGUUGCCACAGCAUCUUGGUGAGGUUGAGGUGGUGCCUCGCUCUGAAGAAGCCGAUUGGCGAUUCCCUGGUGACCCGUCACAUGGAAUGCCCGAAUGCUAAUGAGCUAUGAGCCCUUGUUCCAUCUUCCCAGCAGUCUCUGUUUCCAGUGUUUGCACACUUGAAAACUGAGCUAUUAGCAUGUUCUAUCCCUCCCCCCACCCUUGUUGAAUUUUGAGCUAUUAUUGGCUUACUUAUUCUAUUGUCC
rnacentral:lncRNA from 1 species